rnacentral:rRNA from 1 species
GACGAACGCUGGCGGCGUGCUUAACACAUGCAAGUCGAACGAAGAGCGAUGGAAGCUUGCUUCUAUCAAUCUUAGUGGCGAACGGGUGAGUAACGCGUAAUCAACCUGCCCUUCAGAGGGGGACAACAGUUGGAAACGACUGCUAAUACCGCAUACGAUCUAACCUCGGCAUCGAGGAUAGAUGAAAGGUGGCCUCUACAUGUAAGCUAUCACUGAAGGAGGGGAUUGCGUCUGAUUAGCUAGUUGGAGGGGUAACGGCCCACCAAGGCGAUGAUCAGUAGCCGGUCUGAGAGGAUGAACGGCCACAUUGGGACUGAGACACGGCCCAGACUCCUACGGGAGGCAGCAGUGGGGAAUCUUCCGCAAUGGACGAAAGUCUGACGGAGCAACGCCGCGUGAGUGAUGACGGCCUUCGGGUUGUAAAGCUCUGUUAAUCGGGACGAAAGGCCUUCUUGCGAAUAGUGAGAAGGAUUG